UGGGGAAUAUUGCGCAAUGGGCGAAAGCCUGACGCAGCGACGCCGCGUGAGGGAUGAAGGUUUUCGGAUCGUAAACCUCUGUCAGAAGGGAAGAAACCGCACUGUGCUAAUCAGCAGUGCCUUGACGGUACCUUCAAAGGAAGCACCGGCUAACUCCGUGCCAGCAGCCGCGGUAAUACGGAGGGUGCAAGCGUUAAUCGGAAUUACUGGGCGUAAAGCGCACGUAGGCUGCUUUGUAAGUCAGGGGUGAAAUCCCACGGCUCAACCGUGGAACUGCCUUUGAUACUGCUUAGCUUGAAUCCGGGUGAGGGUGGCGGAAUUCCAGGUGUAGGAGUGAAAUCCGUAGAUAUCUGGAGGAACAUCAGUGGCGAAGGCGGCCACCUGGACCGGUAUUGACGCUGAGGUGCGAAAGCGUGGGGAGCAAACAGG
rnacentral:rRNA from 1 species